rnacentral:rRNA from 1 species
CCUACGGGAGGCAGCAGUGAGGAAUAUUGGACAAUGGGAGCAAUCAUGAUCCAGCCAUGCCGCGUGCAGGAAGACUGCCCUAUGGGUUGUAAACUGCUUUUAUACAGGAAGAAAAAGGUGUACGUGUACACUGUUGACGGUACUGUAAGAAUAAGGAUCGGCUAACUCCGUGCCAGCAGCCGCGGUAAU